AUGUCGCAGACCACCCAAGGGACGCUGAGUUCCUCGACACACCCAUCCAGAACUACGACCAGAUGCAGCACAUCUUCUCCUUCGGGCUGGCAACUGGGAAACAUGCCAUGGGCUCGGGUGAGCCUCUUGGUUCUCCCAUGUCAGAUUUCCCUGGGACACCGGAUGUCGAGGUCCUUGAUGGCCUUGACAAGCCCGCUGCGAAGCCCUUCGACAAGCCAUUUGACCCCAACCAUGAUAGGAAGAGGAAGGAGGCCUGAUGGAGGAGGAGAUCAAUGUCUUUUGCAGCAUGACUGA
rnacentral:rRNA from 1 species